rnacentral:rRNA from 1 species
UACGGAGGGGGCGAGCGUUGUCCGAAGUUACUGGGCGUAAAGCGCGCGUAGGCGGGUUGGUAAGUCCGCUGUGAAAGCCCGGAGCUCAACUCCGGAGGGUCGGUGGAUACUGCCAGUCUUGAAGGUGCUAGGGGGAGAUGGAAUUACCGGUGUAGCGGUGAAAUGCGUAGAGAUCGGUAGGAACACCAGUGGCGAAGGCGGUCUCCUGGGGCAUUCUUGACGCUGAGGCGCGAAAGCGUGGGGAGCAAACAGG